rnacentral:rRNA from 1 species
GUUUGAUCCUGGCUCAGAACGAACGUUAGCGGCGCGCUUAACACAUGCAAGUCGAGCGAGAAAGGGGCAACCCCGGUAAAGCGGCGCACGGGUGAGUAACACGUAGGUAAUCUACCCCCAGGUGGUGGAUAACCUUCCGAAAGGAGGGCUAAUACAGCAUGAGACCACGGUUCCGAAAGGGAUUGAGGUCAAAGCCGGCCUCUUCAUGAAAGCUGGUGCCAGGGGAUGAGUCUGCGGCCCAUCAGCUAGUUGGUAGGGUAACGGCCUACCAAGGCGAAGACGGGUAGCUGGUCUGAGAGGAUGAUCAGCCACACUGGAACUGAGACACGGUCCAGACUCCUACGGGAGGCAGCAGUGGGGAAUCUUGCGCAAUGGGCGAAAGCCUGACGCAGCGACGCCGCGUGAGUGAUGAAGGCCUUCGGGUUGUAAAGCUCUGUGGAGGGGGACGAAUAAGUCGUGGCCAACAUCCACGAUGAUGACGGUACCUCUUUAGCAAGCACCGGCUAACUCUGUGCCAGCAGCCGCGGUAAGACAGAGGGUGCAAACGUUGUUCGGAAUUACUGGGCGUAAAGCGCGUGUAGGCUGCUCUGCAAGUCGGAUGUGAAAGCCCUGGGCUCAACCUAGGAAGUGCAUUCGAAACUGCAAAGCUUGAGUCCUGGAGAGGAAGGCGGAAUUCUCGGUGUAGAGGUGAAAUUCGUAGAUAUCGAGAGGAACACCGGUGGCGAAGGCGGCCUUCUGGACAGUGACUGACGCUGAGACGCGAAAGCGUGGGGGAGCAAACAGGAUUAGAUACCCUGGUAGUCCACGCCGUAUACGAUGGGUGCUAGGUGUCGCGGGCUUUGACCCCUGCGGUGCCGUAGCUAACGCAUUAAGCACCCCGCCUGGGGAGUACUGCCGCAAGGCUAAACUCAAAGGAUUGACGGGGGGCCCGCACAGCCGUGGAGCAUGUGCUCAAUUCCACUCACGCGCUAACCUACCUGGCUUAAAAUGCAGAACCUGGUGGAAAAUCGGGGGGCGC